rnacentral:rRNA from 1 species
UACGUAGGGGGCUAGCGUUGUCCGGAAUCAUUGGGCGUAAAGCGCGUGUAGGCGGUCCGGUAAGUCCGCUGUGAAAGUCGGGGGGCUCAACCCUCGGAUGCCGGUGGAUACUGUCGGGCUUGAGUACGGAAGAGGCGAGUGGAAUUCCUGGUGUAGCGGUGAAAUGCGCAGAUAUCAGGAGGAACACCGAUGGCGAAGGCAGGUCUCUGGGCCAUUACUGACACUGAGAAGCGAAAGCAUGGGGAGCGAACAGG